GCAGGCUUUUGAGACACACAUUAGGAGAGGACUCUGCCCGCUGUCUGUCUCACAAUCUGCUCGAAAUAUCUUGGUCAGGAAUCUCAGGAUGUCUAGUGACCCCGAGUGAGGUGCUGCCUUUUAUUCCUGAGCAUCUUUGGAAGCAGGAAGCAGGGAGCAACGGUAGCGAGAGGUAUUCGGAUCUGAGUAUCAGCAGGAAGAAGAAACAGAGGAAGAAGUCCCCCAUAAGGAAGGCGUGAGGAGCGCAGGAAGCGCUGUUUCCCUGCCUGAGAUCUUUAUUCUACUAGGUCUUUAUUCUACGUAGCCGAUACGCUGUAAAAUUCUGGAAGAGAAGGCUAGGGGUUUAAGCCAGAGAACGAGCCAGAGCCGAGCUUGAGAAUGACGGGAUAGAUCUAGCAGUUAUGCCCAAGGAAGACCCUCGGCCCUUUGAAUUUGAAGGCACUGAAAAUCGUAUAAAUGUUUUCAUAUAAACGUAUGCAUCUUUGAUAUAAAUAACAAAAUGGCUUUUAGCACAAAUUUUGUUUUGGAAAUUUUGAAAAACGUCUUAAUAAGAGGAAUGUUUACUCUUAAGUCUGCAGUAGAUUUUGAACACCGGCAGUAACUGUACAAAUAUAUCAGAUUAGUUUUAAUAGCCAUCUCCCCUUCCCCUACAAGUAAAGGAGAGUACUACAGCAGUAUGUACUCUGAAUUGCUGCUAUUGAAGAACCCCUGAGCCUGUGCAGCGUGGCACUCCUGUGGUCCCCAUUACUCAGGAGGCUGAGGCAGGA
rnacentral:lncRNA from 10 species